rnacentral:tRNA from 1 species
GCCUUAGUGGUGUAAGGGCAGCACGGGGGACUGUGGAUCCCCUAGUCCGGGUUCGAUUCCCGGCUGAGGCC